AUACGGAGGAUGCGAGCGUUAUCCGGAUUUAUUGGGUUUAAAGGGUGCGUAGGCUGUGCGUUAAGUCAGGGGUGAAAUGCCGUCGCUCAACGACGGAGCUGCCCUUGAUACUGGCGUGCUGGAGUACGGAUGCCGUUGGAGGAAUGAGUGGUGUAGCGGUGAAAUGCUUAGAUAUCACUCAGAACACCGAUUGCGAAGGCAUCUGAGGAAUCCGUCACUGACGCUGAGGCACGAAAGCGUGGGGAUAGAACAGGAUUAGAUACCCUGGUAUUCCACGCCGUAAACGAUGAUGACUAACCGUCGGCGAUAGACAGCCGGUGGCCAAGCGAAAGCGAUAAGUCAUCCACCUGGGGAGUACGUCGGCAACGAUGAAACUCAAAGGAAUUGACGGGG
rnacentral:rRNA from 1 species